GAUGAACGCUAGCUACAGGCUUAACACAUGCAAGUCGAGGGGCAGCAUGGUCUUAGCUUGCUAAGGCCGAUGGCGACCGGCGCACGGGUGAGUAACACGUAUCCAACCUGCCGUCUACUCUUGGACAGCCUUCUGAAAGGAAGAUUAAUACAAGAUGGCAUCAUGAGUCCGCAUGUUCACAUGAUUAAAGGUAUUCCGGUAGACGAUGGGGAUGCGUUCCAUUAGAUAGUAGGCGGGGUAACGGCCCACCUAGUCUUCGAUGGAUAGGGGUUCUGAGAGGAAGGUCCCCCACAUUGGAACUGAGACACGGUCCAAACUCCUACGGGAGGCAGCAGUGAGGAAUAUUGGUCAAUGGGCGAGAGCCUGAACCAGCCAAGUAGCAUGAAGGAUGACUGCCCUAUGGGUUGUAAACUUCUUUUAUAAAGGAAUAAAGUCGGGUAUGGAUACCCGUUUGCAUGUACUUUAUGAAUAAGGAUCGGCUAACUCCGUGCCAGCAGCCGCGGUAAUACGGAGGAUCCGAGCGUUAUCCGGAUUUAUUGGGUUUAAAGGGAGCGUAGAUGGAUGUUUAAGUCAGUUGUGAAAGUUUGCGGCUCAACCGUAAAAUUGCAGUUGAUACUGGAUAUCUUGAGUGCAGUUGAGGCAGGCGGAAUUCGUGGUGUAGCGGUGAAAUGCUUAGAUAUCACGAAGAACUCCGAUUGCGAAGGCAGCCUGCUAAGCUGCAACUGACAUUGAGGCUCGAAAGUGUGGGUAUCAAACAGGAUUAGAUACCCUGGUAGUCCACACGGUAAACGAUGAAUACUCGCUGUUUGCGAUAUACUGCAAGCGGCCAAGCGAAAGCGUUAAGUAUUCCACCUGGGGAGUACGCCGGCAACGGUGAAACUCAAAGGAAUUGACGGGGGCCCGCACAAGCGGAGGAACAUGUGGUUUAAUUCGAUGAUACGCGAGGAACCUUACCCGGGCUUAAAUUGCAGAUGAAUUACGGUGAAAGCCGUAAGCCGCAAGGCAUCUGUGAAGGUGCUGCAUGGUUGUCGUCAGCUCGUGCCGUGAGGUGUCGGCUUAAGUGCCAUAACGAGCGCAACCCUUGUUGUCAGUUACUAACAGGUUCCGCUGAGGACUCUGACAAGACUGCCAUCGUAAGAUGUGAGGAAGGUGGGGAUGACGUCAAAUCAGCACGGCCCUUACGUCCGGGGCUACACACGUGUUACAAUGGGGGGUACAGAGGGCUGCUACCACGCGAGUGGAUGCCAAUCCCCAAAACCUCUCUCAGUUCGGACUGGAGUCUGCAACCCGACUCCACGAAGCUGGAUUCGCUAGUAAUCGCGCAUCAGCCACGGCGCGGUGAAUACGUUCCCGGGCCUUGUACACACCGCCCGUCAAGCCAUGGGAGCCGGGGGUACCUGAAGUGCGUAACCGCGAGGAGCGCCCUAGGGUAAAACUGG
rnacentral:rRNA from 1 species